CCUACGGGAGGCAGCAGUGGGGGAUAUUGCACAAUGGGGGAAACCCUGAUGCAGCGACGCCGCGUGGGUGAAGAAGCGCCUCGGCGCGUAAAGCCCUGUCAGCAGGGAAGAAAAUGACGGUACCUGAAGAAGCAUCCCCGGCUAACUACGUGCCAGCAGCCGCGGUAAUACGUAGGGGGCAAGCGUUAUCCGGAUUUACUGGGUGUAAAGGGGGCGCAGACGGCGAUGCAAGCCAGGAGUGAAAGCCCGGGGCCCAACCCCGGGACUGCCCUUGGAACUGCGUGGCUAGAGUGCAGGAGGGGCAGGCGGAAUUCCUGGUGUAGCGGUGAAAUGCGUAGAUAUCAGGAGGAACACCGGUGGCGAAGGCGGCCUGCUGGACUGCAACUGACGUUGAGGCCCGAAAGCGUGGGGAGCAAACAGGAUUAGAUACCCGGGUAGUC
rnacentral:rRNA from 1 species